rnacentral:rRNA from 1 species
GAUGAACGCUGGCGGCGUGCCUAAUACAUGCAAGUCGAGCGAACGGACGAGACGCUUGCUUCUCUGAUGUUAGCCGCGGGCGUGUGAGUCACACGUGUAUACCCUCCCUAUCAGACUGAGAUAUCUUCGGGACACCGGAUCUUAUCCCAGAUGAUCUUUUGCACCGCAUGGUUCAAAGGUGAAAGUCGGUCUUUCUGUCACUUCUCGCUGGAUCCGCGCUGCAUUAGCUAGUUGGUAAGGUAACGGCUUACCAAGGCUACGAUGCGUAGCCGACCUGAGAGGGUGAUAGGCCACACGGGAACUGAGACACGGUCCAGACUCCUACGGGAGGCAGCAGUAGGGAAUCGGCCGCAAUGGGCGAAAGCCUGACGGAGCAACGCCGAGUGAGUGAUGAAGGUCUUCGGAUCGUAAAACUCUGUUAUGAGGGAAGAACAUAUGUGGAAGUAAAUGUGCACAGAUUGACGGUACCUAAUCAGAAAGCAACGGCUAACUACGUG